rnacentral:rRNA from 1 species
AACGAACGCUGGCGGCAGGCCUAACACAUGCAAGUCGAGCGAGAUCUUCGGGUCUAGCGGCGGACGGGUGAGUAACGCGUGGGAAUAUGCCUCUUGGUACGGAAUAGCCUCGGGAAACUGGGAGUAAUACCGUAUGUGCCCUUUGGGGGAAAGAUUUAUCGCCAAGAGAUAAGCCCGCGUUGGAUUAGGUUGUUGGUGGGGUAAUGGCCUACCAAGCCGACGAUCCAUAGCUGGUUUGAGAGGAUGAGCAGCCACACUGGGACUGAGACACGGCCCAGACUCCUACGGGAGGCAGCAGUGGGGAAUCUUAGACAAUGGGGGCAACCCUGAUCUAGCCAUGCCGCGUGAGUGAUGAAGGCCUUAGGGUUGUAAAGCUCUUUCAGCUGGGAAGAUAAUGACGGUACCAGCAGAAGAAGCCCCGGCUAACUCCGUG